rnacentral:rRNA from 1 species
CAGCCGCCGCGGUAAAACGGAGGGUGCAAGCGCUAAUCGGAAUUACUGGGCGUAAAGCGCACGCAGGCGGUCUGUCAAGUCAGAUGUGAAAUCCCCGGGCUUAACCUGGGAACUGCAUUUGAAACUGGCAGGCUAGAGUCUUGUAGAGGGGGGUAGAAUUCCAGGUGUAGCGGUGAAAUGCGUAGAGAUCUGGAGGAAUACCGGUGGCGAAGGCGGCCCCCUGGACAAAGACUGACGCUCAGGUGCGAAAGCGUGGGGAGCAGACAGGAUUAGAUACCCGCGUAGUCCCUGUCUCUUAUAC